rnacentral:tRNA from 1 species
GCCGAAGUGGCGGAAUGGCAGACGCAGCGGAUUCAAAAUCCGCCGUCCAACAGGGCGUGAGGGUUCGAGUCCCUCCUUCGGCA